rnacentral:lncRNA from 1 species
UUCAAAAAAAAAAAAUUGAAUUCUUGAGGCCCAAAUGGAGGUUACGAUUUGUCUAUAAAAGGAACCAUUUGGUUCCAUUCGGGGGGAGGGAGAAGAUCCGAGGAACAACCAUUGGGAAAUCAUCAAAAACGUCCAAAGACAAUCCGAAAAUCUUUUGUUCUCUGUUUUCGUUUCUUUUUUUUUUGAGUUGGAGUUCGAGUUCGCAGUUGAAAUUUUGACGUCAAAGCAUAGUUUGCUGCUCUUGAAAAGGUACACUACUUCGCCUUUAUUUUGUUCAAACUCUAGCUGUUCGUUUGGGUUGGUUUCUUGAUAAUUUCGAAAAGGUUUCUUAAUCUGCUUGUUCAGAUUUUAUCUUUUAUUUUUAGUACAGUUAAGUUUUCCCAUUAAAAAUGGUAUAUAUUCCCUUGUUCUUGUUUGGAUUUGGAUAUGAUUUAGGAUGCGCACUUAUGAAAUGCUGAGGAUGUGUUUCUGAUUUGAGUUUCUGAACUGCAAUAUAGCUUAAUUUUUAUUUUUAUUUUUUAUUUUUUUCGAAGUGAAAAGGCCCUGUUUAAUCUAUGAUUAAGGAAGUUGUCCCCUCUCUGCAGUCAUUUGAUGCAAAGGCUAUUGUUUGUUGUUUUAGAUCUAAGAUUAAUCCUAACCUUUAUGCUUGAAGUUGACCGAUGUCUUUUAUAUAUACCUAAGCAGCCCCCGAUUUGUGUAUUAGCUCGAACAAAUUACAUGAAAGAACGAAGGCUAUUCUCAAGCAUGGUUAGCUGCCGAUAGUAGUAUCAUUGAAACAUUCAUACAUCUGUUAUCCGACUGUUUCUUUGGUAUAUUCAUUGAUAUGAGUACCUUAAUGUUGGCAACCUUUAGUUUAGUAUGAGAUGGACUCCUAAAGGGCAUAAAACACUAUGAAUGCUUGAUGUCCAGUUGUUCUCUUUAAUUUCCUGAAAACCUCCUCCAUUUUUUAAUGGAAUAUGAUAAGUUUCUCUCUUUGUUCUUACAUCUCGCCUAAGUAAUUAGAAGGAUCCCCAUGAUAUCUUUGUAAUAUAUUGGAUUGAACUACUGCAUUUUUCUCCUUUCUCUCAUGAGUGUCGACACGUGAUAAAUCUGCCCGUAUUCAUGUGAAGUCGAGGACAUUAGAUAGGAAUUUAUGCAAGCUAAGUGUGUCUAGUUAACUUAGUCCGCUACCAACGUGUUGGCUUAAUGACUUUUAACUUUUUCUUAUGUUUGAUUAAGUAAUGCAGUCAUAGGAAUAUUUAUCCCCUAUGAUGACGAACUGAAUAUUUACUUGAGCCUUCAUAUGUCUCUCAAUUUACUGGCUGUCAAGAAUUCUAAAAUGCUAAGUUCAACCUCAUAUUGUUUUUUUUAGAAAACAAGAUUGUCUACCCAGAAUAAUGCAUAGCCCCCUUUAUAUUGUAUUUGUACUUUAGAUCCUCAUGCAUAUAACAUCACCGUUACAUAGUAUAUAAUGAAAUAAUAUACAAUAUCCUCUCUUGUUCCUUAGAAACUACUUGUAUUAAUAUUGUUUGUUUCUUUUAUUGGACUCAAAAAAUAAAUAUAUAUUCAUGUGCUUCACCAGAUAGUUCAUGUAUGUUUAAACUUGUUUUGAUGUGGUAGAAGACACAUUCAUAAGUUCUGUACUCCAAAUUUAACUUAUACGAGUAUAAGAGAAAAAAAAAAUGUUGAUCUGUAAAAAAUUUGCCUCUAGGCACGUGAAAUAUUUGUCUCGUCAUUCAUUUAUUGCUUACUUGUAUUUGAUGUUGUUGCUAAACUUUAUGACUUAUGUUUAUUACUACUUUGCUGACAUGAUUAUGGUUAUUCCUAAUCACUUCUUAUUCUCUUCUUAUAUUUUUCUAAUUUGUUUCUUUUUAUCUUCUUAUAUUUCAUGUACAACCGGAGAGCUGGAGUUUCUACUUGGAACUCGUUUUGGACCUAAAAUAUUAGGCCAGCAACAAUUAGGAUCACCGCAAUGCUUGGAGUCUCAUAAAUAGGAGUCUAAUGUUCCUCAGCCUUUCUUUUGUUGCCUUAUGUUUUUUUUAUGUUGGCUAACUUUUACUCUUAAGUUUCGUCGUCCUACUUAUAUUGUUUUUGAUAUGUUAGCUAACAUUUACUCUUAGGUUUUGAUACAUUGCUUGUCUUCUUUUAUUUUUGAAGAUUACUCAUAUGAG